AAAACCAAGUCUCUAAGCAAUGGAUGUCUUGGCUCCUCACACGAUGAAGAACGUGGCAUAAUGUGUUAAGUAACCGGAGUUGCAAACAUCAUGACAGGUUAAUCUUUGAAUGCAAAUUGCGCUAAACUCGAUCUCGGUCGAGAAGCAUGGGUGUGACAGUACUACAUCUUUUAUAAUAAUUCUUAUUCUAAGCGAAUAAGUAAAUAAUAUAUAAGACAAACAACACGUAGUCUGCCAUACGCAGGAAGACCCGCUGAACUGAAGCAUCUCAUUAAGCGGAGGAAAAGAAACUAACUAGGAUUCCCUUAGUAAAGGCGAUCGAAAAGGGAACAGCCCAACGUCUUAAUCCCGCAAGGGAAAUGUAGUCGGUUCACCUAUUGCACUGGUCUAAGUCAGAUGGAAUGCUGCGCGAUUCAGAGUAAAAGCCUCGUAUGACCAACCGCAAGCUUACGAUGGACCGGGGAGAGUCGGAUACUUUGAGAGUAGUGUCU
rnacentral:ncRNA from 1 species